rnacentral:rRNA from 1 species
UACGUAGGGUGCGAGCGUUAAUCGGAAUUACUGGGCGUAAAGCGUGCGUAGGCGGUUCGUUAAGUCAGCUGUGAAAGCCCCGGGCUCAACCUGGGAACUGCGGUUGAAACUGGCGAACUAGAAUCUGGCAGAGGGGGGUGGAAUUCCACGUGUAGCAGUGAAAUGCGUAGAGAUGUGGAGGAACACCGAUGGCGAAGGCAGCCCCCUGGGCCAACACUGACGCUCAGGCACGAAAGCGUGGGGAGCAAACAGG